UACGAAGGGGGCUAGCGUUGCUCGGAAUCACUGGGCGUAAAGCGCACGUAGGCGGAUUCUUAAGUCAGGGGUGAAAUCCUGGAGCUCAACUCCAGAACUGCCUUUGAUACUGGGAAUCUCGAGUCCGGGAGAGGUGAGUGGAACUGCGAGUGUAGAGGUGAAAUUCGUAGAUAUUCGCAAGAACACCAGUGGCGAAGGCAGCCCCCUGGGCUAACACUGACGCUCAUGCACGAAAGCGUGGGGAGCAAACAGG
rnacentral:rRNA from 1 species